rnacentral:rRNA from 1 species
UUAAAUUGAAGAGUUUGAUCAUGGCUCAGAUUGAACGCUGGCGGCAGGCCUAACACAUGCAAGUCGAACGGUAACAGGAAGAAGCUUGCUUCUUUGCUGACGAGUGGCGGACGGGUGAGUAAUGUCUGGGAAACUGCCUGAUGGAGGGGGAUAACUACUGGAAACGGUAGCUAAUACCGCAUAACGUCGCAAGACCAAAGAGGGGGACCUUCGGGCCUCUUGCCAUCGGAUGUGCCCAGAUGGGAUUAGCUAGUAGGUGGGGUAACGGCUCACCUAGGCGACGAUCCCUAGCUGGUCUGAGAGGAUGACCAGCCACACUGGAACUGAGACACGGUCCAGACUCC